rnacentral:rRNA from 1 species
GACGAACGCUGGCGGCGUGCCUAAUACAUGCAAGUCGAGCGCAGGAAGCCGACGGAACCCUUCGGGGGGAAGUCGACGGAAUGAGCGGCGGACGGGUGAGUAACACGUAAAGAACCUGCCCUCAGGUCUGGGAUAACCACGAGAAAUCGGGGCUAAUACCGGAAGGGUCAUCGGACCGCAUGGUCCGAGGAUGAAAGGCGCUUCGGCGUCGCCUGGGGAUGGCUUUGCGGUGCAUUAGCUAGUUGGUGGGGUAAUGGCCCACCAAGGCGACGAUGCAUAGCCGACCUGAGAGGGUGAUCGGCCACACUGGGACUGAGACACGCCCCAGACUCCUACGGGAGGCAGCAGUAGGGAAUCUUCCACAAUGGACGAAAGUCUGAUGGAGCAACGCCGCGUGAACGAUGAAGGCCUUCGGGUCGUAAAGUUCUGUUGUAAGGGAAGAACAAGUGCCGCAGGCAAUGGCGGCACCUUGACGGUACCUUGCGAGAAAGCCACGGCUAACUACGUGCCAGCCGCCGCAGUAAGAC